GAGGGUAUAGCUCAAGUGGCAGAGCACAUGCUUAGCAUGCUCCAGGUCCUGGGUUCAAUCCCCAGUGCCUCUU
rnacentral:tRNA from 1 species